CGGGAUCCACAAGUACAAUACUGGAAAUGGAGAGGAAAUGUACACCACGCUAACGAGCCCCAGAUACGUGUGCAGGCGCAACCAGGGAGAUACGGAGGUGCAGUCUAUGCCUUUGCACCGGUUACUUCAUCUCCUGCGAGGGCCUCACGAAGCAGUCCGACGCCCGUGGGUACGAAGUGCGACGGUUCGCCAAAUCAUG
rnacentral:lncRNA from 1 species